rnacentral:tRNA from 1 species
CGCGGGGUGGAGCAGCUCGGUAGCUCGUCGGGCUCAUAACCGAAGGUCGUCGGUUCAAAUCCGGCCCCCGCAACCA